CUGCGCAAGUUAAAAGUUCAAGUAGAAAAUCUGCCUAAAGUCUGUUUCUAUGACAGUCCAUCCAAUAUCCAAUUUCCCUCCACCCAUACCUCUCUGUGUCUCUCUGUAGGACCACACACGAGUAGUCAGCCCCAUCAUCGAUGUCAUCAGCCUGGAUAACUUUGCCUACUUGGCUGCCUCUGCUGAUUUAAGAGGAGGAUUUGAUUGGAGUCUCCACUUCAAAUGGGAACAAAUUCCACUGGAGCAGAAAAUGGCAAGAAGUGACCCCACCCAGCCAAUCAGG